rnacentral:rRNA from 1 species
GUUGGGAAUCUUGCGCAAUGGGGGCAACCCUGACGCAGCGACGCCGCGUGCGGGAUGACGAGCUUCGGCUUGUAAACCGCUUUUCUCGGGGACGACAUCCGACGGUACCCGAGGAAUCAGCCCCGGCUAACUCCGUGCCAGCAGCCGCGGUAAGACGGGGGGGGCGAGCGUUGUCCGGAAUUACUGGGCGUAAAGGGCGCGUAGGCGGUCGCGUACGGCGGUGGUGAAAGCUCCCGGCUCAACUGGGAGAGGUCCGCCGCAACGGCGCGACUCGAGGGUGGUAGAGGCGGAUGGAAUUCCUGGUGUAACGGUGAAAUGUGUAGAGAUCAGGAGGAACACCCGUGGCGAAGGCGGUCCGCUGGGCCAUGCCUGACGCUGAGGCGCGAAAGCCAGGGGAGCGAACGGGAUUAGAUACCCGUGUAGUCC